rnacentral:misc_RNA from 1 species
UCUCCGUUGGUGAACCAGCGGAGGGAUCAUUACCGAGUUCCAGCAACUCCCAACCCUUGCGAACCGUACCCCAGUCUGUUCUCGUUGCUUCCGGCAGGCGGGGGGGGCCACCUGGCCCCUCCCCCUGCCGGGGGCGGCGGGCCCUCUGAACCAUUAUAUCUCAACCACUGAAACCCGUCUGAGCAAAACAAAAAAUAAUCAAAACUUUCAACAACGGAUCUCUUGGCUCUG